AGCGAGGGAGCGGGACGCGAGCACGCCAGCGGAGCGCAAGCGUGCGCGCCCGCGGAAGCGGAGGAGCUGGGCAUCUUCUGAAAUCUGUAUUUAAUAAUUUACAGUCGACUGAAGAGGUGCAGAUCCAGAUGCAUGAUGGUUUUCAGUCGUGUGAGUCCACAGCAGUGAACAGAACUGCAGAACAACAUAGUGACAUUUAAUGCCGUCACUGAGCAGAUUCUGGAAAGUUCAGUGAUUUCUCAAAGUCUUCAGUGCUGUCAACAGUUCAAGAUGUUCUUAUAAUAACUGUCAAAUAAAUGGGUUUAUGGGCUUUUGACUUUAUAGAUAAAAAGAGUGAAGCUGCGAGUCCAUGAACACAAUCACUGCAACAUCUGACACUUCCUUUUCCCUUCUGAACUAUUUGUUCUAGAAACACAAUUCAUUUUGUCUUUGGAUUUAACAGAUUUAAUAAAUGUUG